rnacentral:rRNA from 1 species
GGCGAGGGGAGUGAAAAAGAACCUGAAACCGUGUACGUACAAGCAGUGGGAGCACAGGUUUACCUGUGUGACUGCGUACCUUUUGUAUAAUGGGUCAGCGACUUAUAUUCUGUAGCAAGGUUAACCGAAUAGGGGAGCCGGAGGGAAACCGAGUCUUAAUUUGGCGUUAAGUUGCAGGGUAUAGACCCGAAACCCGGUGAUCUAGCCAUGGGCAGGUUGAAGGUUGGGUAACACUAACUGGAGGACCGAACCGACUAAUGUUGAAAAA